GCGAUAAUUUAUUGCAAUGUGGCCAGGUUACAACAUCUAGGGUGUGAAAUCGACAAGAUUCCAACAUUUCAUGCGAUCAAGAGGUAUUUGACGCUCCAAAACUGCUAAGUGUUGCAGAAGCCCAAGUUGGACCAGAAUACCUCGCUGAAACAGAAUUAGAAAAAUCUUCUUCUAAAGGCAUCUAUGCAUGCAGUUUAAGAUAUAAAACACUGUCUUGUUCUUCUAAAGUGCUUGUACUAAUUGCUUGGUAAUUGUUAAGUGUCUAAGUGGAGUGAGUAAUAUGAUAUAGUUUUGAUURUACAGAAUGGGGACAUUCAAGC